GAUGAACGCUGGCAGCAUGCUUAACACAUGCAAGUCUACUUGAACUUCGGUUUGGGUGGCGGACGGGUGAGUAACGCGUACAGAACUUGCCUCACAGUUAGGGCCAACAUUUGGAAACGAAUGCUAAUACCUGAUCUUAUCAUUUUCGGGCAUACUAAUAUUAUGAAAGCUAUAUGCGCUGUGAGAGAGCUUUGCGUCCCAUUAGCUAGUUGGAGAGGUAACGGUUCACCAAGGCGAUGAUGGGUAGCCGGCCUGGGAGUGUGAACGGCCACAAGGGGACUGAGACACGGCCCUUACGCCUACGGGAGGCAGGAGUGGGAAAUAGUGGACGAUGGACCAAAAGUCUGAUCCAGCAAUUCGGUGUGCACGAUGAAGUUUUUCGGAAUGUAAAGUGCUUUCAGUUGGGAAGAAAAAAAUGACGGUACCAACAGAAGAAGUGACGGCUAAAUACGUG
rnacentral:rRNA from 1 species